rnacentral:lncRNA from 1 species
GUUCAUCUUCAUCAUCUUCUUCAUUCAUAUAUAUUGUUCAUUCACAGAAUUACAUUUUAAUUGAUCCUUUCACUUUACCCUUUAUUUAUACCCUUCGUAAGCACAUGGCAAUCUCAGAGCGAAACUCCAAUUCUAAUUUUGUUAGACUACUUUCUAGAUGGUGAAACAAUAUCUUGAUUCUUAUAACAGAAAGAAUAAGAAAAAAAUCCCAUGAUUAAAUUUAGUCUAAUGCUAAAAAAACCCCUGUGAUUUUGCCGCAACAGCAGUGGUUGCUUUGCAUCCGUUUGUAGUCAUGGUUGCAGGGCUUCUUCUUCUUAUCCUGCUUCAUUUGUAGCCAAAGCCAACGACGACGACGACGACUUCUUCUUAGCUUGGGUUGAAUGGGGAAAUUAUGUAUUUUUUGAGUUUUGUUGCUUGGUUGAUUUGAGCUACAAGUGAUGGCACGAGAUAAUGAGAAGGAAGAAAUUG